rnacentral:miRNA from 23 species
UAGCCAAGGAUGACUUGCCUG